UAUGCCUACUCCACAUAAUAGGCAUAAUACCGCUAAAUUAAAGGAGGAUAAACCCGUCUGACGCACGGUACGGCAGUGUGGAGACCUGUCGUAAUGCUUCCGGAAUAGUACCGUUCGGAAGUGAGAACGCACGCGAAAAUGGUAGGUGCGUUUCGCGUCAAAACAGUAUGGCA
rnacentral:ncRNA from 1 species